rnacentral:tRNA from 1 species
GGGGGAGUGGCGGAAUUGGUAGACGCGCAUGACUUAGGAUCAUGUCUCCUGUGAGGUGAGGGUUCGAGUCCCUCCUUCCCCA